rnacentral:misc_RNA from 1 species
GGGCCAGUAAGGUGUGCACCUUGGCUCAUGACCAAUCCAUCGCAGGGCAGCCCGAGCAUAACCAUCAGUCGAGGGAACAAAAAAUGAAGAUCUUUUGAUCGACGCCAUUUUUGUUGCCACAUAUAACGGCACCUGGCAUUGCACAUCAAUCCCACUCUUCUUGUACUCUACAUAGAGGCAUCUGGAGAACUGGUCAAUGUAUGCUUUAGUUGCGGCAUAAACAGCAUACAGAGGAUCAGAGGGGAUAACAAUAGCCGCACCAGAACCAAUAUUAACAAUUGCUCCUCUUUUCCUCUGAAUCAUACCAGGCAAAACAGCUUGAGUAACCUUUGUAGUCCCUUCCACAUUAACUUUAAUCAAAUCUGCCAACAGCUUAUCAUCCACUUCAUGGAAAAAUCUAGCAUAAGGAUACGAAACCCCAACAUUAUUAAUCAAAACCCCAAUAUCCAAUCCUUCAAUUGUCUCCUUAAUCUUCUUAACCCCUUCAUCCAAAUCACCAGAGAAAUCAACGACGACUGUUUUGAUCUGGGUCUGUCCAUAUUUAGCUUUAAUCGAUUCAGAAACAUCCUUAAGUUUAUCAGGGUUACGACCCACAAGAACUAGAUUAAGCCCUUUUCGAGCUAAUUCAAAAGCAAAGCCCUUCCCAAUACCAUCUGUAGGUCCAGUAACAAGUGCCCAUGACCCAUAUUUCUUAAGAUUCUUAGCAGGUCUGAGGAAAUUGACAUAGACCCAUUUGAGAAAGAUGACUGAAAAGCACAAGACUUUCAAGAAACCUAAAGAAAGAAGCAAAAGAAGCCAUACAGGCUGGGAUUUGAGCUGAUGGUAGAUGCAAGACUCCAUGUUUGAGUGGCAGAAACAAGAGAACACGAUAAUUUUAUAUAUAAAUAAAGAAGCGUAUAGAUCUAAAGAUUGAAUCUUGGAGUGUUACACGCGAUGGGUUUG